GGGCCUGUAGCAUAGUCUGGUUGCUUUAUCUAAUAACUUAGUGUUAUUUGUGGGGCAAGAUAAAUAAUGCGACGGCCUUCUAAGCCGUAGACCGUGGGUUCGAAUCCCUCCAGGCCCG
rnacentral:tRNA from 1 species